AACGCCUCUCCCGGGAACACGGCAACGCCGCCCCCGGCGGCCGCCCUUACCUGCGCCGGGCUCACAUGGCGGGGCCGGGGCCCGCGGAGCCCCCCCCGGCGCCGCUCGGCCGCCGCCCUGCGCGGGGCCGCAGGUAUGUCAUGAGUGCGAGCGCGGCUCCAGGUGAGCCGGGCACACCUACAGGAAGGCAGGCGGGCCGCCCUGAUUGGCGUGCGGGGCCGGCGGCCGCGCUCCGACGGCACCGCGGCGGGGCAGGGCAGGGCAGGGCAGGGCGGCCGAGGGGCCGCGGCAGACACGGCGGCUCUGGCCACGGCCGCUCUGGCCCCGGCCGGCACAGCCGCUGCCACGUCCGAGCCGAAGGAUGUGCUGUGAAGAUUUCAGCAAAAGAGAAAGAGGGAGCUUGGCUCAACCACCAGAGAAGCCCUGCAGCCCACACCCAGGCAAUCCUGAACCCGUGAGACCCGUGUGGAGUCUCCCAGGCAGGAAAACUCCCCUCAGAAGUGGCACACUGAGAACUCUUCCCUGGCCAGCCACAGAAUCAUCCUUGUGCCUGCUGUUGCCUUCUGAUUCAAUGACUCCUUUCAUUAGUUUGUGUGGGUGCCUUUCUUCAGCAGAGUGGAUCAGCUCCUGCAGCUGAGAUUCCCAUUCCACAUCACUGCAUUUACAGUCAGUUGCAAGGAAAGGGAUGCUUCAAAUUCCCAAGAGCUGACUCUGGAUCAUGUCUCUCUUAGUUUGUUGUCAGACCUCUGGGACAUUAUAUAAAUAGCUAGUGCAUAUUCCCACUGCAUUUUCUAAGUUCCUAGCAGUUGGCAGCGGGUUGGUUGGUCAUCCUGACUGGAAAACUGCUCCUCUUCUAUCCAGAAAAGGGCAACUUACUGUCUGAGGUGGGCUUAACCUUUCCCCCUGUCCUUGGCACCUCCAGCAGCGGCAGAGGCAGUUUUCUGUUUGAUUUUGUGAAUCGUAUCUUGAAAUACCUUGCUUUCUCUGCCUGCUGCACAGAGUUUGAGUGCCUGAACACAUCUGGAGCUCAGCAGAGUGUGAGCAGGAGAGAGCUUGUCCUGUGCUGUGAGUACGCCACAUGGAUUGGGCUGCAUUGUCUCUCAGCCCACCAAACUCUGGGCUGCAGCAGCUGAGUAUGCACCUUCCCCUUCAAGGAUAUACUUCCUUGGUGUGUAUACAUUUAUAUAUAUAUCCUUGGUAUGUCCCUUCCCUGCAAAGAGGCCCAGCAGUGCCAAGAGCAGGCCCCUGUACCCUGAAGUGCUCCUGCUUCCUGCAGUGCCUUGUGCUAUGUCAGGCUGAGGGGCAGUUGGGAUAUGAACCUCCCACUCCGACAUCCUCCUCGUAAACAUCCCGUCCCACUCAAGUCCUGUGCUGUCACAUCCUCCCUGCUCUGCCCAGAUGCUAUUCUGGGUUUAGUUCUAUAUGCAGAGCACACAGCUGGGCAUGCCAAAAUCCAGGCAGGCAGCAGGGCAGAACAGUAACUUGGUUCAGCUGCUGACAUAUUACAAGUAUUGCAGAGGAGGAGAGUUGUUGAAAGGUCUUAAAACUAAAAUCAUCUGCUUGAGCCCUCCUUGGAAAGCCAGUUUGCUCCCCUAGGUGUGUUCAGCAGCUGUACCUUACUCCAAGAGAUGCAAACCUGUGCACAUGGCAUGAAAAACGUUGGUAAUAAUGGAAGGGAGCAGAGCAGAGAGCUCAGAAAGUGCAGCACAGUGUUUACACAAGCAGCACGUACAACACCCAUCCCCGGUGAGUCAGUCCUGGCCGUUUCCUUCAUUUCCUCCAAGGCUCGCUGGGAACAUCCAGCAGUAGCAGCCCUUCUGAAAUCCAGUCAUCUCCUUUCCUGCCUCUUGUUUACAGCUUUCCUUCAGCAGGGAGCAGAGUCCCAGCCUCCAGCACUACAUUUUCACUGCAGCAGGCUGAGAGAAGUGCAGACCCUCCCCUGGCCUCAGCUCAGCUUUGGUACCGCAGUGCUCUUGUUGCUCUUAUGGGUGCCUGCACCUUGAGCUACAGCAGGCGCUGAGGUAAGAGAGGAAAAAGUGUCUCAGUUGCACAAUAGGGUUUUGGUUUUUUUUAAUCUUGAAUGCAGCUUUAUCAUUGACAGAGGUUCUUUAUCCCUACAGCCGCACCUUUGGAUUCAGUCAGGUAGGGUAGAAAGAAUGCAGUGGGGGAUUAGGUUAAGUGUGCUAACCAUUCCUCAGAGAUACAGGCUGGAGCUUCCCUGCUUCAGAUUGAGGUGUAUCUCAUGCUCUUGAUUUCCCCACAUGACAGCAGCUAGGGAGGAGGACUAUUUUUAGCUUUUGUUUCUUGGUUUGUUUACAGGAAGUUCUUAAUUUGUGGGAGUGAGCUUGGUUCUGUCUUAGUCUGAGAAUCCACUUCAGUGCCAGUUGUGGAUGCAGUUACAAGGGUGAACUGCUGCUGUUGUCUGGAAGAGGCAUCAUUUAUCCCAGGUGUUCAAGAAACUAUGGGCUUCACACAGAAAUAUACUGAUUUCUGAGAUAUUUCCUGAAAUUUGUUCAAGGAGAUGUCCAGGCAGCUGUGACACACACAGAACUGGGAAAUUCUUUUGGGUAGUAUGGAUAGAAAUGCUUUUCUGUGUGAAACUAAUUAUAAAUCUACAUUGCUUCCAUAACCUGAGUUAAUAACAAUAGCUCUGAGACAAAACCCAUAUUGUCAAGAAAUGAACAUCCCAAGACAAGAACAGACCUAAAUGGUCGUCCCCCAUUUCCUUCUCAAGUGCCUUCUCCUGGGAAUUCCAAAUAGCCUGCAGCCAGCAAGUGACCUAGAUACAAUGCUUUGUCUGCUCUUAUGGAGUAAAACCAGGAGCAAAAUGAUCCACCCAAAUUAUAUAUCUUUAUAAUCCUUAUUCAACUUCGUCCAGGUUUAGUUUUUUUUUUUUUUUUUUCCCAUACAAAAAGCAGUAAGAAUUGUUUGUACAAAUGGAUACCUGCAUAUGAACCAUGAAGGGAUAGUUUUUUGUCAUGAUGAAUUAUGUACCAGUUACAGUGAAGGUCUACAUUGGAUGGCUUAAGUGUGAAUGGCCCUUUUAGUGUGUUGUACAAAUCUUUUCCAAAGUAAUUGCAGUGCCUGGCCUGACGUGCAUGUCAGGCCAUUGUCCUACACAGCAAAAUUCCCCUUUUCUAACAGGGUCAGCCAGGAAAAUUUAAACAAAUGGACAAGGCUGCAGACUGUCUUGAGACAAAGGCUACUCUUAGGGGCAUGACAGUAAGGGAUGGUCUGGAGAGUCCCUGCCUGUCAGCCAUGUAAGGUAGUAAAAGGAUGUUUUUAUUUGCACACAUCCUGUAGCCUGACAUUGCCCAAUAGUUUGCUUGAUGAUAAGCUCCUGCCUGUUCUAAAAGCGAUGAGGUGGUUCUGAACUUGUGGAUGACGGCCUGGGGGAGGCUGAUGUGCUUUUUUCCCAGCUCAGUUUAUAGCUGGGAAAUCUUUCUCGAUACCUUGAAAUCUAUCUUGAUAUCUUUUUUUUUUAUAUCAAAGGAAAUGACUGCUCAUGCCACAGCCUCAGAACGGUGAGGGCUGCACACAUGCAAAUGUUGGUUUCGUUGACCUUCCCUAAUUUGGAUGGAAUUGAGGGUAGGAAUGGCCAGUCUCAAACAGCAAAAGCAGCCAUGAUCGCCUCAGAUGUUACUUCAGUUUUGCCAAAGAUGUAAAAAAUGUCAGCUGGACAGAAGGGAAGACAAACUACUGCUCAAAGCAUUGCUACAAACUGAAGAAAGAAAUCCCCACAAUGUUUCUACUGCUCAAGACUUCACAUGAACAACUGGAGCAAAACAUGACUGAAAACUUCACAUCUAUUUGCUUAUAUAUUAUUUUUUCAAAAGACAGAAGGAAAUAGCUUGAAAGUUAGUCCAAUUCCAUUAAAAUCCUUUUAUUUGGAAUUAAUAAAAUAUGGAUUCCUUUCA
rnacentral:lncRNA from 1 species